rnacentral:tRNA from 1 species
GGUCGCUUAGCUCAGUUGGUCCAGAGCGUUCGCCUCACACGCGAAAGGUCGCAGGUUCGAACCCCGCAGCGACCACAA